rnacentral:rRNA from 1 species
AUAGAGAAUAGUUAGUGGCAGACGGGUGAGUAAUGCAUAGGAAUCUACCUAGUAGUAUGGGAUAGCCACUAGAAAUGGUGGGUAAUACUGUAUAAUCCCUGCGGGGGAAAGAUUUAUCGCUAUUAGAUGAGCCUAUGUUAGAUUAGCUAGUUGGUAGGGUAAAGGCCUACCAAGGCGAUGAUCUAUAGCUGGUCUGAGAGGAUGAUCAGCCACACUGGAACUGAGAUACGGUCCAGACUCCUACGGGAGGCAGCAGUGGGGAAUAUUGGACAAUGGGCGCAAGCCUGAUCCAGCUAUGCCGCAUGAGUGAGGAAGGCCUUAGGGUUGUAAAACUCUUUCAGUAGGGAAGAUAAUGACGGUACCUACAGAAGAAGUCCCGGCAAACUCCGUGCCAGCAGCCGCGGUAAUACGGAGGGGGCAAGCGUUGUUCGGAAUUAUUGGGCGUAAAGGGCAUGUAGGCGGUUCGGUAAGUUAAAGGUGAAAUGCCAGGGCUUAAC